CCGACCUUAGCUCAGUUGGUAGAGCGGAGGACUGUAGUGGUAAUGCCUCGGUAAUCCUUAGGUCGCUGGUUCGAAUCCGGCAGGUCGGA
rnacentral:tRNA from 1 species